rnacentral:piRNA from 1 species
UACUGCUUGUCCACCAAACCAUGCCA